GGCCACAUUGGGACUGAGACACGGCCCAAACUCCUACGGGAGGCAGCAGUAGGGAAUCUUCCGCAAUGGACGAAAGUCUGACGGAGCAACGCCGCGUGAGUGAAGAAGGUUUUCGGAUCGUAAAACUCUGUUGUCAGGGAAGAACAAGUGCUGUUCGAACAGGGCGGCACCUUGACGGUACCUGACCAGAAAGCCACGGCUAACUACGUGCCAGCAGCCGCGGUAAUACGUAGGUGGCAAGCGUUGUCCGGAAUUAUUGGGCGUAAAGCGCGCGCAGGCGGCUUCUUAAGUCUGAUGUGAAAUCUUGCGGCUCAACCGCAAGCGGUCAUUGGAAACUGGGAGGCUUGAGUGCAGAAGAGGAGAGUGGAAUUCCACGUGUAGCGGUGAAAUGCGUAGAGAUGUGGAGGAACACCAGUGGCGAAGGCGACUCUCUGGUUUGUAACUGACGCUGAGGCGCGAAAGCGUGGGGAGCGAACAGGAUUAGAUACCCUGGUAGUCCACGCCGUAAACGAUGAGUGCUAAGUGUUAGAGGGUUUCCGCCCUUUAGUGCUGCAGCUAACGCAUUAAGCACUCCGCCUGGGGAGUACGACCGCAAGGUUGAAACUCAAAGGAAUUGACGGGGGCCCGCACAAGCGGUGGAGCAUGUGGUUUAAUUCGAAGCAACGCGAAGAACCUUACCAGGUCU
rnacentral:rRNA from 1 species